AAUAUUGCACAAUGGGGGAAACCUUGAUGCAGCAACUCCGCGAGAAGGAUUAAGGUUUUCGGAUUGGAAACUCCUUUAGUCGGGGACGAAUAAUGACGGUCACCGAAGAAUAACCCAAGGAGAACUACGUGCCAUCAGCCGCGGUAAUACGUAGGUGGCGAGCGUUGUCCGGAAUUACUGGGUGUAAAGGGCGUGUAGACGGGUAUGCAAGUCAGAUGUGAAAUUCCAGGGCUCAACCCUGGCGCUGCAUCUGAAACUGUAUAUCUUGAGUGCUGGAGAGGAAAGCGGAAUUCCUAGUGUAGCGGUGAAAUGCGUAGAUAUUAGGAGGAACACCAGUGGCGAAGGCGGCUUUCUGGACUGUAACUGACACUGAGGCAUGAAAGCGUGGGUAGCAAACAGG
rnacentral:rRNA from 1 species